rnacentral:rRNA from 1 species
CAGUCGCCGCGGGAAAACGAAGGGGGCUAGCGUUGUUCGGAUUUACUGGGCGUAAAGGGCGCGUAGGCGGGCGAAUCAGUCAGGGGUGAAAUCCCAAGGCUCAACCUUGGAACUGCCUUUGAUACUGUUUGUCUUGAGUUCGAGAGAGGUAAGUGGAACUGCGAGUGUAGAGGUGAAAUUCGUAGAUAUUCGCAAGAACACCAGUGGCGAAGGCGGCUUACUGGCUCGAAACUGACGCUGAGGCGCGAAAGCGUGGGGAGCAAACAGGAUUAGAGACCCCCGUAGUCCCUGUCUCUUAUAC